GUGGGGAAUAUUGGGCAAUGGGCGCAAGCCUGACCCAGCAACGCCGCGUGAGGGAAGAAGGCUUUCGGGUUGUAAACCUCUGUCCUUGGUGACGAAACAAAUGACGGUAGCCAAGGAGGAAGCCCCGGCUAACUACGUGCCAGCAGCCGCGGUAAUACGUAGGGGGCGAGCGUUGUCCGGAAUUACUGGGCGUAAAGGGUGCGUAGGUGGCCUUUUAAGUUGGAUGUGAAAUACCCGGGCUUAACUUGGGGGGUGCAUCCAAAACUGGGAGGCUAGAGUGCAGGAGAGGAAAGCGGAAUUCCUAGUGUAGCGGUGAAAUGCGUAGAUAUUAGGAGGAACACCAGUGGCGAAGGCGGCUUUCUGGACUGUAACUGACACUGAGGCACGAAAGCGUGGGGAGCAAACAGGAUUAGAUACCCUGGUAGUCC
rnacentral:rRNA from 1 species